GCCGGAGUGGUGGAAUUGGCAGACACGCAGGAUUCAAAAUCCUGUGGGCUUAACGCCCGUGCGGGUUCAAGUCCCGCCUCCGGUA
rnacentral:tRNA from 1 species